rnacentral:lncRNA from 1 species
GAAAAAACAAGAGUACUUAUUUUACUCAUGAGAAAAAGAAAGUAAAAAAGAGGGAAUUGUCUUACUCAAGGUCAUAGAAAGACAUAGUUGCAAGAUGGGAUUAGAAACCAUAUGUCUCAUCAGCACCCUAUGUCCUUUCUCUGCCCUGGGAGCACACUCCAUUUAGCAGGCUUGCGGCUAGUGUUAAUGUCUGGACAAUUAAUCAAAACUUCCUUUGGGCUGGAUCUCCAGAGCCCAAGAACACUGGUGGCCAAAGGAUGGUGUCUUGUGAAAGGAGGGCAAGCAAAAGUGUAGGACAAAUUUUGCUUUGGGAUUUUGGUUACACCUGCAGACUAUCCCACAGAAGGAGGAACAGCACUGAAAUCCUUUCUCGCAAUCUUCCUGCAUUGUACACAGGUUUUGAUGUCAGAAUGAUGCUGACUUCAUAGAAUGAAUUAGGGAGGAGUCCCUCCUCCUCAAGUUUUUGGAAUAAUUUCAGUAGGAUUGGCACCAGCUCUUCUUUAUAUGUCUGGUAGAAUUUGGCUGUGAAUCCAUCUGGUCCAGGGCCUUUUCUGGUUGGGGCUCCAUGGUUCCUAGAGGCAAGGAAGAAGAGCCACCAGUCAAAUAGGUUUCAGCACCUCCAACUCCAACAUCUUCAAAGCAGCGACUGGGAAGAAAAAUAAUCCUUCUGACAACACAUAUUCAGACACAUAUGGUCAGCCUCAUGAAGCUCUGGAUACCCAUGCUCAUGACAUUCUUCUGUACGGUGCUACUGUCUGUGCUGGGAGAAAUGAGGAAGAAAAGAUAUGACAGGAAGGAAUUGUUACUUGAAGAAUGCUGGGGAAAGCCAAAUGUCAAAGAAUGUACCAAUAAGUGUUCUAAAGCCUUUAGAUGUAAAGACAAAAAUUACACAUGCUGCUGGACCUAUUGUGGAAACAUCUGCUGGAUAAACGUCGAAACCAGUGGAGAUUACUAAAACCGUAGCUUCCCACCAGGCUGCCACCUGUGUGGGCUGGGAAAUGUUUAAGAGGUCUCAUAGUAGUACCCUGUGGCUACUUUUAGGAACACCAGUCUAUUUUUACUGAGAGCUGGACAACAGCAAACACUUGACAAAUAAACUUAUUUACCAGU